GGUAGCAGGAUGGUGGUUCCGCCAGGGGAAUGAGAAGGUAGCAGGAUGGUGGUUCCGUCAGGGGAAUGAGAAGGUAGCGGGAUGGUGGUUCCGUCAGGGGAAUGAGAAGGUAGCAGGAUGGUGGUUCCGUCAGGGGAAUGAGAAGGUAGCGGGAUGGUGGUUCCGUCAGGG